UACGUAGGGGGCAAGCGUUGUCCGGAUUUAUUGGGCGUAAAGAGCGUGUAGGCGGCUGGGUAGGUCCGUUGUGAAAACUCGAGCUCAACCUCGAGACGCCGAUGGAAACCCUCCAGCUAGAGUCCGGAAGAGGAGAGUGGAAUUCCUGGUGUAGCGGUGAAAUGCGCAGAUAUCAGGAAGAACACCCGUGGCUAAGGCGGCUCUCUAGUACGGUACUGACGCUGAGACGCGAAAAGCGUGGGGAGCAAACAGG
rnacentral:rRNA from 1 species